rnacentral:lncRNA from 1 species
GGCAUCUUGACCAAAUAUUUUGACAAAAAACUUGCUGAAUAAUAUCACAAAUACUUAGUAUUAUGUUAGAAUUUCUAUCGAGAAGUAGAGAGUUUUGUUUCCUUUCUUCCCCUUUUCAAGAAUGCCACUAUAGUCAUUUUAUUGUUCCCUUUUUCAAGAAUGUCACUAUUGUCAUUUUAUUGUACAUUACUCUCGCAAAUUGGAGAUGGGACAUCCC